AUGGCUUAAUUCUUCUACAAGCUUGAAAAGGGCACUGUACCAGCAACAUAUUUUAACUCAAAAAAAAUACCUCAGUUCCAUUUUAUCAAUAUACUUAAUGUGUCACAAAAUAUGAAAGUGACAUUUACAAAAUCUUAACCCUUUGUCUAAGCAAACUCUAGAGUUUGUUCUCCUCUUUAUCUCUCUCACCUCUCUUGUUAUUUACCUUCACAUUUCUUCAUGUGCAUGAGCCACAACACUUCACCAAAUGGGGUGGCUUCAAUCCCUCUUCUCUCCUGUCAAAAAGCUAUGGUUCAGGUUGAAUUCAACUCAAAAGAAGAGAAGAGGGCUUUACAUUCUCUAUGAAGAUGUCAAAUCUUGCCCCUAUGAAGACGUGCAUGUCCUCUGGUCAAUACUAGUGGAAUCACAUUCAUCUUCUUUACAAUCCCAAAAAUAAAGGCCAUGCAUGGAAACUAUACAGGAUUGAGAAGAAUCUCAUAAUGUACAUAAAUAUAUUUAUAAUGUCCAUAGUACCAUAGUUUUUUUUUUCUCUUUUUCUUUUAACUUCUGUAGCAUCGACACAUAAUGACUCUAAAAUUUUGUUUUUAACGCGACCACUAUAGCUUAUAAGCUCUUAUUUAUAAUCUUA